CAUCCACCUGAAAAACAAAAUGGAAGAUGACUUCGUGGAGGCUAGCGCUGUGAAAACCAAGGCCGACACCUCACUUAGGCAACUUGUGUGUCUAUUUCCCUCACGGCACCUUUUGCCAUCUGCAAGUCUACUGUUGGGUCAUUCAGUUCAGCGCCUGCCUCUCCGCCAGAACACACACUCCACGACUCUGCUUCACCAGCGCCUCUGGCAGUGGCCCGCAGAUUUGAACUCAUGACCUGGGAUGCCUCCAUUAACUGAGAAGUAUACACCCUGAAAACAAUAAACACACAGCAGUGCCAGACUGAGCAAGGCGGCGAAUCAGUUGCUCAGUGCUGCCCUAGGUCAAAGGAUGGUAAAUUUGGAGGCAAUGACUUUUGACCAUAAGGUUUAAGGUUCAGUCCUACGGAGGCAUUUCCACCCCCAAGCUGAAAGCUGCGUUAAGGAAACAAAACAACCUACUGGGCACGUGACGUCAGUCAGAUUAAAAUGAAGAUCAGCUAGAAGACA